rnacentral:tRNA from 1 species
GGAGAAGUACCCAAGUGGCUGUAAGGGGCUCCCCUGCUAAGGGAGUAGGGCUGGAAACGGGCGCGAGUGUUCAAAUCUCUCAAUCCGCGCCA